rnacentral:lncRNA from 1 species
AUAUUAAUACAAGGAUAUAGGUACUCAUUAGAGAAUGAGUUCACUGAACUAAUCUACAGAAAGAAUAUCUAAUGGUCAACAGAUGGUUCUCCAAUAGGAGUGGUAUAUGUGAUCCUUUGACCUGAGAUCACCAUGGUACCUUGUGUACAUGGAUCCUUACUUUGGUUUAUUCUCUAGCACAUUAAUUUGUAAUGUGUGUGGGAUAUUCUGGGGAUGAUAAAAUAUGCAUGA